AGUUGAUCCUGGCUUAGGAUGAACGCUGGCGGCGUGCUUAACACAUGCAAGUCGAACGAAGCUCUUACUUGAUCCCUCGGGGUGAUUGUAAAGAUGACUGAGUGGCGGACGGGUGAGUAACGCGUGGGUAACCUGCCCUAUACAGGGGGAUAACAGUUGGAAACGACUGCUAAUACCGCAUAAGCGCACAGUACCGCAUGGUACAGUGUGAAAAGCUCCGACGGUAUAGGAUGGACCCGCGUCUGAUUAGCUAGUUGGUGAGGUAACGGCUCACCAAGGCGACGAUCAGUAGCCGACCUGAGAGGGUGACCGGCCACAUUGGGACUGAGACACGGCCCAAACUCCUACGGGAGGCAGCAGUGGGGAAUAUUGCACAAUGGGCGAAAGCCUGAUGCAGCGAACCGCCGCGUGAGUGAUGAAGUAUUUCGGUAUGUAAAGCUCUAUCAGCAGGGAAGAUAAUGACGGUACCUGACUAAGAAGCUCCGGCUAAAUACGUGCCAGCAGCCGC
rnacentral:rRNA from 1 species